rnacentral:ncRNA from 2 species
UUCUUAUCACGAGAGGUGGAGGGACUGGCCCUUUGAAACCUCAGCAACCAGUCGAAAUGACAUGGUGCUAAAUCCAGCAAGCAAAUCGCUUGGAAGAUAAGAA